AGAAGAAAGAAAGCGGAUUUUCAUCAAGACUAAUGAAAGCAGCAGCAGCGCUGGCAGUAGUGCUGAGUACAGCUUUAAAUGUAAGUAGUUUGUUUUUAUUUUUUUAACUGAACAUCUAUUAAAAUACAUGACGGUAACGGAGCCACCGGAAUUUGUAGGACCAGCUAAAGCUAAAGCUUAGAGCUAAUCUGUUGAUACGAGACGUUCAGCAACAUUAAAAGCCUUCAUAAAAAUGUCACAAUUUUUGAUUUUAACCUACAUCUUAUUGUAACUGUGCUGAUAGCUGUGUCCCUCACAAAUCCGAUCAAUUUAUUCUCAUACAGUUUAUUACAAAUGAUUAGAACUGCCAAAGCUUAAUGCAGCUGAAGAAAUAACAUCAGUCCAGCUGUACUGGGCUGUCAAUACUGCAAACGUUUUGUUUGAAUACUCAAUAACGUAUAGUUAAUUUACAGUACAGUAUAAUAAGGUUUAAAGUAUAAUUCACUUGAAGAACAAUACCGGCGUAAUUAUACAGAACAGUCAUUUUGCCUGUUGACAUAACAGAAAUAUGCUUUACAUGUCAUUUUGUUCUAGGCAGCAGGGAGCAUACAGAGGAGUUGAUAAAACUCCGUGGGCAAAAUGACCACCUCUUUACCGGGGCCAAAAACACUGCCGCAGUCGGAUGGAGAACAAUCCUGCAAAAAACGGGCCUGGAGGGUGAAGUUGAGCCACAACAGGC